rnacentral:misc_RNA from 1 species
UUUCCGUAGGUGAACCUGCGGAAGGAUCAUUCAUAAUAAGUGUUUUAUGGCACUUUUUUAACUCCAUAUCCACCUUGUGUGCAAUGUCAGGGUUGAUUUUUCUCUCGAGAGGAUCAACCCCAAACAUCCUCUAUAUCUCAACUCUUUGUCUGAAAAAUAUUAUGAAUAAAACAAUACAAAAUACAACUUUCAACAACGGAUCUCUUGGCUCUC